rnacentral:piRNA from 1 species
UGAGGGUGUCGUGUUGAAUGCUUAGA